GACAGAGGGUGCGAACGUUGUUCGGAAUUACUGGGCGUAAAGCGCGUGUAGGCGGCAGCGCAAGUCGGGCGUGAAAUCCCACGGCUCAACCGUGGAAGUGCACUCGAAACUGCGCAGCUAGAGUCCUGGAGAGGAAGGUGGAAUGCUUGGUGUAGAGGUGAAAUUCGUAGAUAUUGGGAAGAACACCGGUGGCGAAGGCGGCUCUCUGGACCGAGACUGACGCUGAGGCGCGAAAGCGUGGGGAGCAAACAGG
rnacentral:rRNA from 1 species